CUAGAAUUCUAUUUCAGCCAUGUGUGAGGUUAGGAUAUGGGAAGGCAGGAUGUAAAAGACUCUCAUUGACGUGCGGGCCUGGGCCUGGAGCAGGUCAGAGAGCUCGAUGAAGGCUACCCCAGGAAGACAGAAUGUAUGAAAUUCACUUGCUUCUGGACAUCUUGAUAGAUACACAUUGCACCUUUCUCUGGCCCUCUGCCCUGCCGAACUGAGCUUGCAGAAUAUAUCUACAAACAAUCACGCCUUCUAGAUCAGAUCGGAUCUUGAAAAUGGGAAAGCACUCCAAGUCAGAGGGAAAGAAGAGAGUGAGAUCAGCGUAUUUGAUGUGGUUUUGCUCCUGCUGGGAUGCCUCAGACCGUGGGGUUGCUUUUAACUUCUUGCUGAUUGAGAAAAAGUGUGACAAAUAUUCAUUUCCACUUCACUGGUGAACUAACGUAGGAUGAUUGGGAGGAGACUGAAGAAGUGACUUCAAGCCUUAUCAGCAAUUUCUGCCUACAUUUGACCCGGUGUACUAGCUUGUGUGUACCUUGUAAAUCCUAAAGGACCCUUUUUAUUUCAAGCAAAUUUUAUGCCCUGGAGAACAAAGUUGCCAGCAUUCAUUUAGGAGAAAUGUUAUGUACUUCAAUUCACUUAGAGAUUAUAGAAAUAAUGCUGAACAAAGAAACACCACUUCCAAAAGUGCCUUUAAAAUGUUUCAAAUCAGUACACAGGAGAUCUUGGUAGGGUUUUACAUCAUUGAACUUAGUGUUCUUUCUUUCUUUCUUUCUUUCUUUCUUUCUUUCUUUCUUUCUUUCUUUCUUUCUUUUUCUUUCUUCUUUCUUUCUUUCUUUCUUCUUUCUUUCUUCUCUCUUUCUUCUUUCUGUUUUUUUUGCAUUCUUUCUUGCUUACUUUUCCUUAUUUUUGUCUUACUAUAACUCUUGUUUUCAGACUGCAAAAUUAUAAAAUUGUUUGAAAAAUUUGGAAAAGAAUAAAAAGGAAAUAAAAUGCACACCAAAUCUUAUCAUAUUGUAGUUAACAUCCAGUGAUGAUGUAUUUAUAAAUGAGGCCACGCUAUAUACAUUUAAUUUAUAUUUUCACUUCUUACAUAAUGUUGUAUAGUGAGACUGAUGCCAUUAUGUACUUUAAAA